rnacentral:rRNA from 1 species
AGUGAACGCUGGCGGUAGGCCUAACACAUGCAAGUCGAACGGCAGCACAGUAAGAGCUUGCACUUACGGGUGGCGAGUGGCGGAAGGGUGAGGAAUACAUCGGAAUCUACUUUUUCGUGGGGGAUAACGUAGGGAAACUUACGCUAAUACCGCAUACGACCUACGGGUGAAAGCAGGGGAUCUUCGGACCUUGCGCGAUUGAAUGAGCCGAUGUCGGAUUAGCUAGUUGGCGGGGUAAAGGCCCACCAAGGCGACGAUCCGUAGCUGGUCUGAGAGGAUGAUCAGCCACACUGGAACUGAGACACGGUCCAGACUCCUGCGGGAGGCAGCAGUGGGGAAUAUUGGACAAUGGGCGCAAGCCUUAUCCAGCCAUACCGCGUGGGUGAAGAAGGCGUUCGGGUUGGAAAGCCCUUUUGUUGGGAAAGAAAAGCAGCAGGUUAAUACCCCGCUGUUCUGACGGUACCCAAAGAAUAAGCACCGGCUAACUUCGUG